UCUUACAGAUGAGCAAAGAAAGUAGUUUCUUGAGAUGGAAUCUACUUCUGGUGAGGGUGCUGUAAA
rnacentral:pre_miRNA from 1 species